AGUGAACGCUGGCGGUAGGCCUAACACAUGCAAGUCGAACGGCAGCACAGUAAGAGCUUGCUCUUACGGGUGGCGAGUGGCGGACGGGUGAGGAAUACAUCGGAAUCUACUUUUUCGUGGGGGAUAACGUAGGGAAACUUACGCUAAUACCGCAUACGACCUACGGGUGAAAGCAGGGGAUCUUCGGGCCUUGCGCGAUUGAAUGAGCCGAUGUCGGAUUAGCUAGUUGGCGGGGUAAAGGCCCACCAAGGCGACGAUCCGUAGCUGGUCUGAGAGGAUGAUCAGCCACACUGGAACUGAGACACGGUCCAGACUCCUACGGGAGGCAGCAGUGGGGAAUAUUGGACAAUGGGCGCAAGCCUGAUCCAGCCAUGCCGCGUGGGUGAAGAAGGCCUUCGGGUUGUAAAGCCCUUUUGUUGGGAAAGUAAAGCAGCAGGUUAAUACCCCGCUGUUCUGACGGUACCCAAAGAAUAAGCACCGGCUAACUUCGUG
rnacentral:rRNA from 1 species